AACACGUGAGUAACCUGCCCCUGACUCUGGGAUAAGCGUUGGAAACGACGUCUAAUACUGGAUAUGACUUCCGGCCGCAUGGUCUGGUUGUGGAAAGAUUUUUUGGUUGGGGAUGGACUCGCGGCCUAUCAGCUUGUUGGUGAGGUAAUGGCUCACCAAGGCGACGACGGGUAGCCGGCCUGAGAGGGUGACCGGCCACACUGGGACUGAGACACGGCCCAGACUCCUACGGGAGGCAGCAGUGGGGAAUAUUGCACAAUGGGCGAAAGCCUGAUGCAGCAACGCCGCGUGAGGGAUGACGGCCUUCGGGUUGUAAACCUCUUUUAGUAGGGAAGAAGCGAAAGUGACGGUACCUGCAGAAAAAGCACCGGCUAACUACGUGCCAGCAGCCGCGGUAAUACGUAGGGUGCAAGCGUUGUCCGGAAUUAUUGGGCGUAAAGAGCUCGUAGGCGGUUUGUCGCGUCUGCUGUGAAAUCCCGAGGCUCAACCUCGGGCUUGCAGUGGGUACGGGCAGACUAGAGUGCGGUAGGGGAGAUUGGAAUUCCUGGUGUAGCGGUGGAAUGCGCAGAUAUCAGGAGGAACACCGAUGGCGAAGGCAGAUCUCUGGGCCGUAACUGACGCUGAGGAGCGAAAGCAUGGGGAGCGAACAGGAUUAGAUACCCUGGUAGUCCAUGCCGUAAACGUUGGGCGCUAGAUGUAG
rnacentral:rRNA from 1 species